ACGCAUGUCUCUUGUUGCAAUUCAUUGUCAUUAAAAUAAUAAAUAAUGCAUAUUAUUUUUAUAAUUAAAUCAAGAUCAUGUUUAUAAAGUAAGAUUUUGACUUAAAUAAAGCACAGACUUGGGAGGAAGUGACAUAUGUCGGAUGGAUAUGCAAGUGCCGGUGGAGUGUUUCAUUCUUCCUUUUCUUCCGUGGCCGCCAUCGAGUUAGGAGCGUGGUUCCUGGCGAGCCGUGAAAACUUACAAUAAUGGCUUGUGCCCGACCAUUAAUCUCGGUCUACUCCGAGAAAGGGGAGACAUCCGGCAAAAAUGUGGUUCUGCCUGCAGUGUUCAGGGCUCCCAUCCGCCCUGAUGUUGUGAACUUUGUG